GAUGAACGCUGGCGGCGUGCCUAAUACAUGCAAGUCGAGCGAACAGACGAGGAGCUUGCUCCUCUUACGUUAGCGGCGGACGGGUGAGUAACACGUGGAUAACCUACCUAUAAGACUGGGAUAACUUCGGGAAACCGGAGCUAAUACCGGAUAAUAUAUUGAACCGCAUGGUUCAAUAGUGAAAGACGGUUUUGCUGUCACUUAUAGAUGGAUCCGCGCCGCAUUAGCUAGUUGGUAAGGUAACGGCUUACCAAGGCAACGAUGCGUAGCCGACCUGAGAGGGGAAUCGGCCAAACUGGAACGGAGACACGGUCAAGAUUCCUACGGGAGGCAGCAGUAGGGAAUCUGCCGCAAUGGGCGAGAGCCUGACGGAGCAACGCGGCGGGAGUGAUGAAGGUCUUCGAAUCGUAAAACUCUGUUAUUAGGGAAGAACAAAUGUGUAAGUAACUAUGCACGUCUGGACGGUACAUAAUCAGAAAGCCACGGCUAACUACGG
rnacentral:rRNA from 1 species